AACGAACGCUGGCGGCAGGCUUAACACAUGCAAGUCGAGCGCCCCGCAAGGGGAGCGGCAGACGGGUGAGUAACGCGCGGGAACGUGCCCUUUGGUUCGGAACAACUCCGGGAAACUGGAGCUAAUACCGGAUAAGCCCUUCGGGGGAAAGAUUUAUCGCCAAAGGAUCGGCCCGCGUCUGAUUAGCUAGUUGGUGAGGUAAUGGCUCACCAAGGCGACGAUCAGUAGCUGGUCUGAGAGGAUGAUCAGCCACACUGGGACUGAGACACGGCCAGACUCCUACGGGAGGCAGCAGUGGGGAAUAUUGGACAAUGGGCGCAAGCCUGAUCCAGCCAUGCCGCGUGAGUGAUGAAGGCCUUAGGGUUGUAAAGCUCUUUUGUCCGGGAAGAUAAUGACUGUACCGGAAGAAUAAGCCCCGGCUAACUUCGUGCCAGCCGCCGCAGUAAAAC
rnacentral:rRNA from 1 species